rnacentral:rRNA from 1 species
UACGUAGGGAGCAAGCGUUGUUCGGAUUUACUGGGCGUAAAGGGCGCGUAGGCGGCAAUUCAAGUCAUCUGUGAAAUCUCCGGGCUUAACUCGGAACGGUCAGAUGAUACUGCUUUGCUAGAGUGCGGAAGGGGCAAUCGGAAUUCUCGGUGUAGCGGUGAAAUGCGUAGAUAUCGAGAGGAACACCAGAGGUGAAGACGGGUUGCUGGGCCGACACUGACGCUGAGGCGCGAAAGCCAGGGGAGUAAACGGG